AGAGUUUGAUCCUGGCUCAGGAUGAACGCUGGCGGCGUGCUUAACACAUGCAAGUCGAACGGGAAACCUUUUAUUGAAGCUUCGGCAGAUUUAGCUGGUUUCUAGUGGCGGACGGGUGAGUAACGCGUGGGUAACCUGCCCUAUACAGGGGGAUAACAACCAGAAAUGGUUGCUAAUACCGCAUAAGCGCACAGGACCGCAUGGUCCGGUGUGAAAAACUCUGGUGGUAUAGGAUGGACCCGCGUUGGAUUAGCCAGUUGGCAGGGUAACGGCCUACCAAAGCGACGAUCCAUAGCCGGCCUGAGAGGGUGAACGGCCACAUUGGGACUGAGACACGGCCCAGACUCCUACGGGAGGCAGCAGUGGGGAAUAUUGCACAAUGGGGGAAACCCUGAUGCAGCGACGCCGCGUGAAGGAAGAAGUAUCUCGGUAUGUAAACUUCUAUCAGCAGGGAAGAUAGUGACGGUACCUGACUAAGAAGCCCCGGCUAACUACGUGCCAGCAGCCGCGGU
rnacentral:rRNA from 1 species